AUUGAACGCUGGCGGCAGGCCUAACACAUGCAAGUCGAGCGGAUGAAGGGAGCUUGCUCCUGGAUUCAGCGGCGGACGGGUGAGUAAUGCCUAGGAAUCUGCCUGGUAGUGGGGGAUAACGUCCGGAAACGGGCGCUAAUACCGCAUACGUCCUGAGGGAGAAAGUGGGGGAUCUUCGGACCUCACGCUAUCAGAUGAGCCUAGGUCGGAUUAGCUAGUUGGUGGGGUAAAGGCCUACCAAGGCGACGAUCCGUAACUGGUCUGAGAGGAUGAUCAGUCACACUGGAACUGAGACAAGGUACAGACUCCUACGGGAGGCAGCAGUGGGGAAUAUUGGACAAUGGGCGAAAGACUGAUCCAGCCAUGCCGCGUGUGUGAAGAAGGUCUUCGGAUUGUAAAGCACUUUAAGUUGGGAGGAAGGGCAGUAAGUUAAUACCUUGCUGUUUUGACGUUACCAACAGAAUAAGCACCGGCUAACUUCGUG
rnacentral:rRNA from 1 species